GACACGACUCUCGGCAAUGGAUAUCUCGGCUCUCGCAUCGAUGAAGAGCGCAGCGAAAUGCGAUACUUGG
rnacentral:rRNA from 40 species